rnacentral:lncRNA from 1 species
CAGGUAUCACUUUUUCAAGUCAUAAUGGGCCCAGAAAAUCAUGGCGAAGAUGUUCCAGAUCCAUUACUCCUGAUUACAGUUGCUAAUGUGUCAGAUACUCUUAGUGGAAUCUCACAGGUGCAGCAGUUAAUACAGGCAUAUGGAGCAGUAAACCGUACUCUAAUUCUCAGCAACAACAUGAUCAUAUUUGAAAUGAAAACAUCUGAAAUGGCAAGGUUGGCUUAUGAACAGCUGAAAAAGCUACCUUACACUGUACAAAAAUGUACGUUGUCUUUUUUCUGGGGUUCAAGUCAAAUUUCAGAAACAACAAAGGAAGGAGAUGUCCCUAUACCUGCUCAGAGACCUGAAACCAGCAUUCAACAUUUCUCCUGUUGUGUGAAAAAGGGAAUGCAAGCCUUUAGCAAAACACAAGGGAUGGACGAAUGUGAAAGAAACAUGAAAAGAUCAAAGAAAGCCUAUAAACGAGAAGGCAGGAUUUUGCAGUUACAGUCAGAGGUUGGAAAUCAGGUCAAAAAUCAAAAGAAAACCAAAGAACCUGAAAAAACAGGCAAGUAUCUUGGGCACAAUCUGGGCACCAAACAUAUUUUCUCUGGCAUAAGUAGACAACAU